rnacentral:lncRNA from 1 species
CCCAAGAGCAUUGGAGCCAUCUAUUUUCAUUAGAUGGAACCAAGCUACUGUACAAGUUCACUCGUGCACAAAUAGUAAAAACAAUAUCUUGAAUAACAAUAUACUCAUUUUUAGGAGCCUCCCCAUGGGUCCUAGCAUUACGUUCACGCCAAAUAGCAUAAAUCGAAGCCGCAAACAUUAACCGGAUAACGAUAGAGGACAAUGACCUCCCACGAAAUUGUUCCAUCCAAGAGAGAGAAUCAAGCCAACUCCGUUGAACCCAUGGCAAGUUACAUUUCACAUGCAGAGCAUUCCAAACACGCUCACAAAAUGGGCAUGCAAAGAAAAGAU